AGCAUUCUAGCCCUGCAUGGUAUGAGUUCCAGACUGGAGGUGGAGGGAGAGAUAAGAGCAGCCUCCAUGAAGAUGUGAUGCUUGAUCUGAGACUUGCAGGGUCGGCAGCUCCUUGGCCAACAGAAGGGAGAGUGGGAAAAGGGAGAGAAUGUUAGUGGACCCCCCGGUGUGUAGAAGUUCAGCAAGAUUAAAAGCCAAUACAAGAAAUAGCCAUGUGAAUGAUAGAAAAUUAAGAAAAUACAGAUUUGCAAAAAG
rnacentral:lncRNA from 1 species